AGAGGAAGGCGAAACGGUGAAGUGAAGCAGCCUGAGCCUAAUCGGAGAUCACGGAAAGUGACGGAGAGGAACGAGGAAUAAGGAGGGGUGACGAAAAGAGCCGAAGCUGGUGAAGGCGAAGAACCGAGCGAGGGAAGAUGGCCGACACGAGCCCGCGCGCUCUGCAGGGCCGGGACGCGGCUGCGCGGAGCGCUCCUCUCCCUCCCUGUCUCCCUAAGACACGUUUUCCGCCUGGUGGCACAAUAUGCAUAACGCGGAGGUCGCCAUAUUGGCCGUUUCCAAGCCCCGGGUCGGCGGGACCGAGCACCGUUCGCGCGCGGCGCGCGGCACCGCCGUCUGUCUGCAGAACGUUCGCACCUUCCCGAGCCGAACAGCUGCAUUCCGCCUCCCCGAGCCCGGGACCACGUCUCUUCUAUGUUUCGUCCUCAGUUUCACUUCCCAGCAUGGAGGUCGUCGCGGUGCCGAGAUCUCCCGGGUACUGAGGUCUUCCAGGUGGACAAUGAGAAAUCAGCCCGAGCGCGUAACGGCGUUAACAGCGGUGUGGAGGACACACAGGGAAUGAGGCGAGGAGCGAGGCUGGGAAUCCUGGCGUGAUCUAAAUGUGAAGGAGAGAGCAUGUGACGGGGACCGCGGCGGUCGGGGCAUCUGAGCUUCCGACGGAUUUCUUGCUCUGAAUCUUCUUGCAAACAGCGGAGUGGCAAGUUACAAAGUGAAGACCUUCAACGUGUGUGGAUCUGGGAAAGGUGUAAUAAAUAGACCCUUUCAUUUAUUUUUAUUUAAAUUUUUUUUUUUUUCUUUUUCUUUUUUUUUUUAAAAGAUGGGCUUUCACCAUGUUGGUCAGGCUGGUCUUGAACUCCCGACCUCAGGUGAUCCGCCCGCCUUAGCCUCCAAAGUGCUUGGAUUACAGGCAUGAGCCACCACGCCCAGCCUCAUUUAUUUAUUUUGGAGACGGACUCUCGCGGUGUUGCCACGCUGCAGUGCCGUGGCGCGAUCUCAGCUCACAGCGGC